rnacentral:rRNA from 1 species
GAUGAACGCUGGCGGCGUGCCUAAUACAUGCAAGUCGAGCGAACGGACGAGAAGCUUGCUUCUCUGAUGUUAGCGGCGGACGGGUGAGUAACACGUGGAUAACCUACCUAUAAGACUGGGAUAACUUCGGGAAACCGGAGCUAAUACCGGAUAAUAUUUUGAACCGCAUGGUUCAAAAGUGAAAGACGGUCUUGCUGUCACUUAUAGAUGGAUCCGCGCUGCAUUAGCCAGUUGGUAAGGUAACGGCUUACCAAGGCAACGAUGCAUAGCCGACCUGAGAGGGUGAUCGGCCACACUGGAACUGAGACACGGUCCAGACUCCUACGGGAGGCAGCAGUAGGGAAUCUUCCGCAAUGGGCGAAAGCCUGACGGAGCAACGCCGCGUGAGUGAUGAAGGUCUUCGGAUCGUAAAACUCUGUUAUUAGGGAAGAACAUAUGUGUAAGUAACUGUGCACAUCUUGACGGUACCUAAUCGGAAAGCCACGGCUAACUACGUG